GGGCCUUUAGCUCAACGGUUAGAGCAGAGGACUCAUAAUCCUUUGGUUGCGGGUUCGAAUCCCGCAGGGCCCACCA
rnacentral:tRNA from 9 species